rnacentral:tRNA from 1 species
CAAGGAGUAGUUUAAAAAGAAUUUCAGCUUUGGGUGCUGAAGGUGAAGCGGAGUGUUUUCUCCUUGA